rnacentral:lncRNA from 1 species
AUGGAAAUGUCAUCAAUAGAUAGGACAAGAGUUUUAACCCAAGACGAAUGCACUUUGUAUUCUUUCAUAACCCAUAUUUCAACUGUUCCAUCCUCCAUAGCCCAUAGACUUAGAAAUUCUCCAAAUAUCCACAAAUCACAAUCUAUAGGUUCAUAGUCAAAACCAUCUGGAAAAUGCAUCUCCAAAAGUUUCCUUUCCACUAAAUCAAAGCCAACAAUAACAUCCAUUGAUAAAUCAUGGCGAAAAGAGAACCAAUGAAUAGUCCCAUUAAAGAGCAUCCCUACUUUGGGAUCAUCAUUUGCAUUCAUAUAAUAAGGGAAGUGAUUAUACUUUACAAAUCCAGGACACUCAAUUUCGUUCCAUGUAUUAGCUCUCAAUGAGAAAAACUUCAAAUGUGAAGAAAUAUUAUCGUCUACUGGGUCUAUACUUGUAUUAUAGGACACUGAUACCACCAAGUAAUCAUCUCUUAAAUGGUCAUACCCAAAACCAUACAGACAACAUGAAUAUUUGGCAUCUAAAUUGGAAGCAGGAAAAGGUAUUUGUUUGUGAUGUCCAGUUGAUGGAUUCCAUAGGUAGAUGUUUGAAGAACAAGUCAAAACUAUAAAUCCUCUACAUGAACUUUUAAUUUCAAGACUAGAAUAAGAUUCUGGAGGCAUAAAAUUAAGGUUCAGUGAAGUAGAAGCAGAAUCAUCGUUAAGCGACGCUUCAAAAUCAAUGGAUCGAGUUUCAAGAGCUAGAGUUGACAUGAACACAAUUCUAUUAGUGUGUGUUGCAGUGGAAAGUUCAAAAUGCGAUUUUGCAAAGUUAUGAUCAGAGAUAAGAGCUAACAAUGACUUACAAACGCAUUUGAAACGUAUGAGAGACUUCACCGGUAACCUCAACAUGAUUUGUAUUAUCAAUUCAUGAGGCAGAUACAGGCCGGUCUUCUUCUCCAUCUGUCUUCCUCCUCUGCAAUCGAUGUUUUGUUUCUCUUCGUCUUGGAUUACUAAUUUAAUUUGUGUGAUGGUGAUAUAUAAAGUGAUGAUCCUUCUUUGGUACUCUUCACAAGUUCAUUGUUGAAUACUCUUUCCUACAUGGAAUGCGAUGAAUCAAAGAACAUUAUGUAUUGCUAUGCCCAAGCCCAACAUGUCAAUUUUAAAAUAAACCAAACAAAUAAAUUAAAAUACACGUAAAUAAGAUAUUCAACAACCCUAUCCCUAUGGUUUCUUUAACUAUCAACAACAAAACGUGUAAAAUUGCUUUAAACAACAUACCCAUUAAUAAAGAUUUGAAAUUUAGCACGACCCAGAUUGAGAUUUGAGGAAUUAAAGGCGUGAAAGUGUAAACGAACCAAAUGGGUCCUUUUAAUUGGUUGAUUUGGUGAAAACCCUAGUAGUGUGGUAGAUUGAGAGUAAACUGGAAAGUGAGUUUUGGUUAUUGAUGAAAAAGGAGAUAGGAGUGGUGGAGUCGGUGUUGAUGAGGUAGUUGUAGAGGGGAGAGAAAAAGUGGGUAGUGUGGAGAAAGGGGGAAUUGAGUUGAAAUCGAACUGAAGAAGAAGAUGAUGGAGGAAUGAUGGUGCUGAAUGAAGAAAAGGAUUUUGUAAUUAAAAAUUGAGAAUUGUUAGGACAAAUAUGCAUUGGUGUGUCACACUUGUAAUUUACCAAAAUGUUCCUCGGCAGUUAACUCCAGAGAAAAACUUCGGCAGUAAACUACUGAGGAAAACUGAAAACUUCGGUAGUUAAUUGCCGAAGUUUUCAGUUUUCCUCGGUAGUUAACUGCAGCCGGUUCCAUAAUUCGGCAGUUAACUGUUGAAGGGCAUUUCGGUAAAUUACUAGUGUGACACAGUCUUAUGCAAUGUGUCAACAGCAAUUCUCUUAAAAAUUAAGAUUUGUCUAUUUUUACCGGUUAAUUACCCACUCCCUCCAUUUUAAAAUGAAUGUCUUUUAAUGUUUUUUCUAUACAUAUUAAUAAAUGCAUUAAUUAAAAGAAAAAUAUGUUAUUUUAUCAUUAAUUAAUUAAUGUUCAAGAAGAUAAGAAUAAAAAAACAGUGUGCAACCCAAUAAAAGACCGUCCUAGCUAAAGUAUGAUUAACCAUGAUUAAUAAAAGAAAAAUUCCAUGAUGAAAUUUAUUAGAAUGACUUUUUUGGUGAAGUCAUUAGCAGUGGCGGAGCCAGGAAAUUUACGGAGCCCGGGCGAAAAAUUUAUCCCAAAUUAUAUCAAUAGUCAUAAAUCAAUUUUUUUAUUUUAAUAAUUAAAAAAAUCGAAAUAAAAGAGGUUUAUCAAUUUGUCAAUAAAAGUACAAUUUAAAAUAGGAUUAUUAAUUAAAAUCGACCAUGUAAUAUAUGUGAAGUCUGAAAAUUGGCCCUGUAAUUAAAUAACAUGUAUUUUGACCAUGUAAUUCGAAAUUUUUAUUAUUUAUAACCCUAUAAUAUACGUGAAGUCCAAAAAAGAAUUCGAGAGAUUGAAUUUUUUCAUGAUUUGUUAAAGGCGAGUUAAGAACGUUAAAAUACGGCUUUGCAAAAAAAUUUAGAAAUUUUCGACAAACGACAAAUUAAUUAUGAAUUUUUAAAGUGUCAAAAGCUCAAAAAACAAAACAAUGGAAAUCUCGACCUAUAAAUCAAAUUUUGAGCUCAUUAUUCGUAGAGACAUCUAUAAUUUUAUAUAAAAAGGAUAUGUAAAGUUUCAUAGCAUUUCGAAGUCGUUUAAAUUUAUUAUGAUUUUUUAACCAAAACGUGCAAAAUUGAAAUUUUGUUCCGCGUAAGCGUAUACUUACAAGUCAAAUUUAGUUCCCUAAUUUUGUAGGCAUGACUAGAGCAUGAUAAGAACCUUCACAGUGAAAUUUUGUAGUCUUUAAACGAGAUACAAAUUAAUAAUUAAUUUAUCUCUGGUCGAAGAAAUUUAAUUUUUUAUGUAAAGCUAUAUUUUAACGUGCUAAUCAUGUAUGAAAAAAUUCAACAUGUAGGUCACAUUUUUAGACUACAUGUAUAUUACAGGGUGGUUAAAAAUAAGAAGAAAUUCAAGUUACAAUGCUAGAAUAUAUAUGUUUUGUAUUUUUAAGGGUCAUUUUUCAGACAUAAAGUAUAUUACAGAGUCAAUUUGAACAAUUAACCCGUUAAAAUAAGAGAGAUGAACCCGUCAAUUGUGUGCUAAAUAAAAUUCUGAGACCUAUUUGCGUGUGAGAAUUUUCAGAUUGCCCAAAUUUUUCUUUUUGUAAGUGUGUUAAUUGGCUUUUGGGUUGAGUCUAAUGUGCAAAAAUUAUCGAUCGAGCCUGGGCGACCGCCCGGAGUCGCCGGACGGUGAAACCGCCCAUGGUCAUUAGAAUGACCAAUCAUUUUACAUUUAUGUAUUUAAUACAUAUCACGUCCAAUUAUAUUGUGUACUGUACAUUUGCUCAUACGGUGUGCCACUAUAUUUUUACUUGUUGUUUUAACAAAAAUAUUUUUACUCUUUUUUUGGCAAGAAAAAAUAUUUUUACUUAUUGCAAUUGUAUCCCUAAUUAAAUCAAAAUUAAAUUUUAAUAUUAUUAUUACUUUUUUUUGCCAACAAUCACUCUCUAUUUUUUUUUUAUCAUUGCACGCUACCUCCCUGCUUUUGCAAUUCUCCAUUCCACACGAAGCAUAGUUUUAAAACUCGGCUCGGUCAUCGACUCGGUGGGGUACUGGGUCACUGGAUCAAUAAUCAAACCAGUGAGUCAUUGGUCGAACCGCAUAACUGAACCGGAUUAAACCGGAUAACUCAGAUGUAUAACUCGGUCUAUAUGAAAAAUGUGUACUUGUAUUAAACUGAGAUGGAUCAUAUUAAACUAAUCACUCAAUCUCAAAAAUAAAAAUAAAAAAAAUCAUAAAACCUACCAAUUGUCAAAAUCAUCAAAAUUAAUCACUUUAUAUGCACAUUUCAUACUACACAAAUUUCAGAAGCGCGGUUCACUGACCCUGCCGGUUUUCAAAAACCACCGAGUCAUCGGUUUUUACCGAGUUUGACCGGUUCUUUCCGGUUCACACCGGUUUAAUAGCAUACCCGAUCCAAUACUUGGCUCGAACCGGUCAGGUGUCCGGUUCCCGAUUCAACCGAUUGAACCGGCCGGUCCGAGCCGGGUUUUAAAACUAUGCCCGAAGGUACUUCAGAUUUUCUUUCUCAAUAAUUGUCAUGUUUUUUUACGGUUAGCUUGUAGUUUUUCAUAUAAAGUUCAUGCUUCAAAAUUCGUAUGUUUAAUCGAAACAGUUUAAUGUGUUUUCUUCUUAGUUUCUCGGUUGGACUCUUUGGACUCUAUGAUAACUGCUAUCAAAUUUGAAUCCCUUUCUCUUUACAGGUUAUUGCUUUGAUAAUGAAAUUAGGUGAUUUGCUAGAAUUCUAUGAUUAAAUCCCUAACUUGGGUUAGCAAAAUGUAUAAUUUAGGUUAGCAAAAUCCCCUUACACAAAUGAAGAAGAAAGAGGAUGAUUAAAAAUGAUUUAAUUUGAGCAUAAAAUCUCCUUCUGCAGAUGAAGAAGAAACGACCAAGAUGAAGAAAAAUGAAUAAUUUGCAGAUGAAGAAGAACAGACGAACAAAAUGAACAGAUGAAGAACAAAAAUGAAUUUAUUUUAAAUUAAAUAAGUUAAUAAAUCAAAAGUAAUUAAUAUUUUAUACGAGGACUGAUUUGUAAUAAGAUAAAAUUUAGUCUUAGAGUGGUCCAUCACAAAGACACUAGCUAACAUUACAUAACAAUCAUGCUAUUGGCUAAAUAAAAUGACUUUUUCAAAAAAAUCAUUUUUUUGACUACACCAUAGAAGCCCCCUAAAUAAAAUUGGUUUGUUUGGAAGUAAUGUACAUAUAGUAUUAAUUGAAAGGUACGAUUGAAAAGAAAAAAUUAUUAUUGCAUUGAAAAAUGAAAGUGACAUUAAUUUUAAAACAAAUUUUUUGUUUAAAAGGACACUUAUUUUGAAACGGAAGGAGUAUUAUCAUUAAUCAAUUAAUGUUCAAUACAAGAAGAUAAGAAUAAAAAAUACAGUGACUAGCCCAAGGAUAGGUUGUCCUAGCUAAAAUAUGAUUAACCAUGUUCGCUUGUCUCCAAACAAACUUCACAUCGAGGUUGAAAUGUAAAGAUAAUUGAUAAAUAAUACUAGAAACAAUAGCACAGAAUUCUGAAUCACCAUGGCCCGGAGACGAUAGACCUUACACUGGAGUAGUUAAGUCAGACUCGAAGACAACCCAGUUCCAUUUGUUCCCAUCAGCAAAGUAAAUAGCAUCGAGUAAAGCUGAUGUCUCCCCCUCCAAAAGUGUCAUAUUUGUCCACUUUCAUUUCAUUUGAGUUAAAUGUCAAGUGUGUGCCACAUAGACAACUUUGCACAGUCAGCAUCUACCAACAUAGGUAAAAAUGCGACAAAUCAACAAAACAAAAAAAGUGGGUCCUUUCAUCUACCCGUGACGUGACCUUUUCUCACAUCAACUAAAGAUUUAUAAUCAAUCUAUUUUAUCUAGUUCACAUGUGUCAUGUCCCUCGUUGUGAUCAAUAGAUAAUGUGACGGUAAGAGAUAAUGCAACUUCUCCAACAUCACUUUGUUCCUUAACAAGACUGGAUAAAUAGUUGGACAAUUGUGAUUUUGGAUUGCUGCCGUAGUUGAGGCAUGAGACAGAUUACAGUUUAUAAUCCAGAAGUACUUGCAAUGAACUAUGAUCUAACCAGAUAUUGUGGUUUUACCGUUCAUUGUGGUUUUACUGCUCAUUAAACUAAUCUCUACAGUUGCUCGCAUAGAAUAUUUUAGUUCACACAAAAAAAUGUCCAUUCCAUUCAAAAAGAAGACAACAUGAGUCGACUGUGUCUUAACACAUGCAUAAAACCAACUAUUAGCAAAUUUAGAAAAAGAGAGAGAAAAUCAGCAAUAUCCGUAAAGUGUCUAACUGGAUUGAAUUGUGGUAUACAUAGGCAACCAACUAUUAGCAAAUUUAGAAAAACUUCCCACAAAGACCUCAAUUCAGCAUAGUAAUCAUUAACAGAAUUUGUACCUUGCUUCAGGUUGUUGAUCUUAGUUUUGAGUUUCCAAACACGAAUGCGAUCAGUUUUACUUAAACGCUCCUUCAAUUCUCUCCAUACAUCAGAAACAAUAUCAAUGUAUAGAAUACUAUGUGCAGUUGAAUCAGAAACAUAAUUCAUGAUCCAAGUAUGGAUGACAUUAUUGCAUCUCUACGCAUAGCACGUGCCCAAGCUUGAUAAUUGGACGUGUUCAAUGGAGGCUUGGUUGUCACAGAAUGAGGUCCAUCACUAGGAUGAACAGGGUCAAGACAAAUCCUGUGUUGGAUCUUGAACUCCAUUAUUGUUGGCAUUUCCAUUGUUACGCACCAUUGUUGUAAAAAAACAAGGAAAAAAAUAGAUGAAGUUUCAGGAAUCAACGAAGGAAGAAAAGUGAAGAAGAUAUAAAAUCUUCAAAAGAAAAUAAAGAAGAAAACGAAGCUUGAGAUGUACGCAUCCAUGGCGGAAGAGAAGCGUAACUGAAUCGUAACAACCUUCUCUCAAGAGAAGACUUCUGAUACCAUAUUAAGAAAGCUAAAAAGAGAGUGAAAUGAAGUGAAUAAAGGUUAAGCACUUAUUUAUAGACUAACAUAGGUACAGCUUAACAAUCAUACACUAACUCCAUCCUAUCUAAACUAACUCUAACUGUCAUAGCAGAAAGCAAGCUUGCGUGGCAAGUUUGUUAGAGCUAUGUCAGGUUACUUGCUCCUCAAGUAAUCUUCCAUCUUCUUCCAUUCUUAACACCAUGUGCAACAAAGCCUAACCAUUUGUGAUUGUAGGAGUCUAGAUUCGGUUUUUAUUAAAGAGAAUCCUCUACGUAAUCAGUCAAGCCUCCGAUCACUUAAAAUCAUAUCCCAUGACUCAAUUGAAUCACUUAAAGUCAAUGUUCGGAUGGACACACUCACUGCUCUUGAAGAGUUGUUUCUUGAAUGUCUAAAGUUAAACAUAGAGGAUUCUCUAAAAGAUAAAUAUCACUCCAAAAUGUAGCAGAUAUAUGUUUCAAAAAGAUUGGCAAAAGUUUCCUUCUGGAAGUAUUCUUAAAGUUUCAUCCUUAUAUCUUUGAAUUUACGAUCCCUGAAACUUACAUUUUUUUCCCCUCAAAAGUUGCUAAAUGAAUUCAAUUUAUGGUUUAUUAAAUUUCACUUAUUCAAUUUUGCAGAAAAUAUAAUAGAAUACCUGUGGCAUUCAUUCUUGCAUUGGAGGCUGGCCUAGUAUAAACAUCAAACAAGGCAUUAAAUGUAGUUUCUAUGAUAUUUAUAAUUUUAAGUGAUUUGUUAUUAUAUCAAACAUGUGAAUUCGGCUACAUAAUAGUUCAGAACAAGUUUAAUAAACAUUUCAAACUACAGGUUUCGCUUUUGACAAUAUUUUCCAUAUGUCAAAUAGAUUAUAUAUAGUUUCAGAAUACUUGAUUUCUUUCUUGUUCUUGUUGUGUGGGACUUCAAUUUUUGAAUUGUUAAAAUCCUGUUAUGAACUUUUAAAGCCAAUUUUUUAAGUACUUAAAACCCAAACAUUCAGAUUUUGAACUGUUCAAAAUCAAUUCAACACAAAAAAAAACAAAAAAAAAACAAAAAAAAAAAAAAUAGUUGGUUUUGGUUCAUAGAAGAAGUAGUUCAAUUCAGCUCAAUUUGGUUCAUAUAAACUUGAUACAUUUUCUUAUAAAGAACGGUAACUGAAAACCUUUGUUUCACUUUGCAAGUCACAGUUUUUAUAGUCUAUUUCCUGGAAUUGUGUUCUCUUUUCUGGUUUUUGAUCCAUCAUGCGCGGUUUGGACCUGUGAUCUUUGGUCUAUUUUGCAAAUUGUUUGGAUAUUGGAUGCUUGUUUCGCCUCUGUCUGAUUUUUCUAUCUUGGUUGAAUGAUGUUGCGCCACAGAAUUUGGAUUUGGAUGCCUAGAAUCUCUUUGGCUUUAGCCUCAGCUUUGUUCCUCAUUUCAUGUUCUCUUUCUUUAGGUUCCAUUUGUGUAGUGUUGCUUGUUUUUGUUGUUGUGUGGAGUUGUAUUAUUCGUUUGUGUUCUGGUUUGUUCCUACAUGCUAGUGCGGUGCUUUGUACGUUUUGCUCUCAUCCGGGGCACGUCUUGUGCUUGGUCCUGAAAUUUGUACAACCGACAGAAGCUGGCUUAGUAAUUGUUAAUAGUACCGUCAUCUGAAAUUGUUAAUUCGGGUCAGCGUUUUAUACAUGUUAGUCGCAAAAUAUAGAUUGACUGAUGCUUCCUUCGUUGAUCAAUUUCCCACACUCUCAAGUUCACCACCUUUGGUUGAAUUGUGAAUUUUUUUAGAUGUUAAAGCAAACUCAGCUCAGAUGAACUUUGUUGUGAAUCAUCAAUUCCAAAAGCUUUAGCUAUUUUAGGUGGAAAGUACAUGAAUAGUUUUUAUAUCAUAUCUUUAACAUAACCCCCUGAAACUACAGCUCUUGAAGAAUCGACUGUGAUACCAUUUCAUCAACGAACUAUGCCAAAAGCUGUGAUACCAUUUCAUCAACAAACUAUGCCAAAAGUUUAAGCUAUUAAGUGAAGACAUAAAUAAUUUUUCAAUAUUUUUCAACAUGACACUUCAUAAGAAUAUUGCAAACAAGUAACACAGCAUAUAUAUUAAAACUCAAUAAGUUAACAUGCAUAAUUAACUGUGAAUCACACAAAUGAAAUUGUCAACAUUUUCAUUGAACAUUACAGAUAUUUGACCAAUAAACAUAGUACAUUAGCUCAUGUGGCAUACUGGAUCAUAUUACAAACACAAUCAAACACAUAUUACCCGGCAAGUGCAGCUACCCAAGAGUUUAUAAUACACUAUAAUUAUAAAUAUUAAGAAAAAGUUGAAGAAAAAUGUUUCACAACUUCAUUCUUCUUCUGUGUGUCAUCUUCUUAGAUUUGUUCACUGUCACCGGGGAGUGAAAGCAGGGACUCUGUAUACAUAGCUACUAGGCGUCCACAUGGAUCGUUAUAGUAUGAGCGAUUUUCUAGCAGCUGACCAUUGCCAUCAUACUUCACCAAUCCAGUACCAUUUGUUCCAAUAAUAUGACCACAUUUUGUAGAGCAUAUUGGGGGAUCAUACUGAAUGUAAAUGUAAUCAAUAGAUAGGACAAGAGUCUUAGUCCAAGACGAAUGCACUUUGUAUUCUUUCAUAACCCAUAUUUCAAUUGUUACACCCCCCAUAGCCCAUAGACUGAGAAAUUCUCCAAAUAUCCACAAAUCACAAUCCAUAGGUUCAUGAUCAAAACCAUCUGGAAAAGGCAUCUCCAAAAGUUCCCUUUCCACUAAAUCAAAGGCAAUAAUAACAUCCAUUGAUAAAUCAUUGCGAAAAGAGAACCAAUGAAUAUUCCCAUUAAAGAGUGUCCCUACUGUGGGAUCAUCAUUUACAUUCAUAUAAUAAGGGAAGUGCUUAUACU